AUGGCAGUUGAGACCCUCUUCUCUUCAGCGGGGAGACGGUUGGAAACCCGUCACUCUUCCUCGACGACGGCUGCACCGCAGGCUUCCUCGUCGGUCAUGACCCGCCCCAUGGGCCCUGCCAUUGGACGCCUCCUCCCCCUCCUCCCCCUCCUCCUUUUGAUUGGCGGCUGUGUGGCGACAGCAGGAGGUCAUUCUGGCAUCAAACCCAGAGCUGUACGUUCGAGUGCCUGUCAGGACCACAGCAAACUCCAUAACCGCCUGGAUAUAGUGGAGAAGAAAGUUGAAGACACAGUGGAGAAGUUGGAAGACGAGCUGGCCAUUCUUCUGGACGCCAUCGAAGCCCCGGAGUGGGGCCCUCUACUGGACAUUACCGGGACACCAUCGGUGGACAUCCUCGAUGGACACGGAGAAAUUGCCCCGUUUGAUACGAAAUAAUAACGAUACGAGUAUAGACAUUGG
rnacentral:lncRNA from 1 species